GACGGAGGAUGCAAGUGUUAUCCGGAAUCACUGGGCGUAAAGCGUCUGUAGGUGGUUUAAUAAGUCAACUGUUAAAUCUUGAGGCUCAACCUCAAAAUCGCAGUCGAAACUAUUAGGCUAGAGUAUAGUAGGGGUAAAGGGAAUUUCCAGUGGAGCGGUGAAAUGCGUAGAGAUUGGAAAGAACACCGAUGGCGAAGGCACUUUACUGGGCUAUUACUAACACUCAGAGACGAAAGCUAGGGUAGCAA
rnacentral:rRNA from 1 species